rnacentral:rRNA from 1 species
UGGGGAAUUUUACGCAAUGGGGGGAAACCCUGACGUAGCGACACCGCGUGAGCGAAGAAGCCCUUUGGGGUGUAAAGCUCUGUCAACAGGAACGAAACAAAUGACGGUACCUGUGGAGGAAGCAUCGGCUAACUACGUGCCAGCAGCCGCGGUAAGACGUAGGAUGCAAGCGUUGUCCGGAUUUAUUGGGCGUAAAGAGUUCGUAGGCGGUUUGUUAAGUCUGAUGUUAAAGACCGGGGCUCAACCUCGGAAAUGCAUUGGAUACUGGCAGACUGGAGUGCAGUAGAGGCUAGUGGAAUUCCCAGUGUAGCGGUGAAAUGCGUAGAUAUUGGGAAGAACACCGGUGGCGUAGGCGACUAGCUGGGCUGUAACUGACGCUGAGGAACGAAAGCCAGGGGAGCAAAUGGGAUUAGAUACCCCAGUAGUCCUGGCCGUAAACGAUGGAUACUAGGCGUAGUGGGGUAUCGACCCCUGCGUGCCGCAGCUAACGCGAUAAGUAUCCCGCCUGAGUAGUACGGCCGCAAGGUUGAAACUCAAAUGAAUUGACGGGGUCAUAGCUGUUUCCU